rnacentral:snRNA from 1 species
UGGAGCAGCAGAGUGAAAUUCUGUCUCCUCAUUGAUUGCUGAAGUGGACUUGGCUGAUCUGGCUGGCUAGAUGAAUUUUUCAUCUUUCUGCAAACCUCACAAAGCUGCACACUGAGAUGAGGACUACCAUGCUCUGUGUCAGGCACAGUAGUGUCUCCUUCUAGAUCCUCCAAGCAAGACUAAAGUUCAUUUCUACAACACAGAGCAGCCAAGCCUUCACAUCUUGAGACACAUCCAAAUGAAGGUCUGUAUACUGCAAUUUGCCUUUCAUU